AUGAACGUUUAGCAUAAUUACUCUCCUGACAAAAUGCCAUGUGUGCAUAAUAAUGGCAGUGCUGUUGUGAAAAGCUUUCAGUGGUGAGGAAUAGCUAAAAAGAGGAAUCGAGGAGCCUAUUCCAUUAAAUUCUGUUUAGACAGGGAAAGCCAUACCUAAAGGAAUAUCUGCUAGGAUAUCAACUAUGAAGGAGUAGGGCCUGCAGCAGUAGGAAGGUAUUACAGCAUACUAAUUUAGUACUCUAUCUGCUAAAUUUAUUUUAUUCACUAGUUGCGAACUCAAGGCACAGUGUUUGCACUCAGCACUGCCUUUUCACUGCUUGUUGCCCACGUGUGACUUGAUUUUAACAUAACAACGCUCACAGCUUGGGGAACGAGAGCCUUAUGUUGGCACUUGUCAUUUAAAGUUGAAAGGAGGAAGCAUUUUGCUUAGCUUUUUUUUUUUUUUUUUUUUUUUUCCACUGCAGAUUUUUCAGUUUGCUGCUACACUAUAAGAUAGGACCUGCUGGUUCCUAAAAACAAGUAAAUUCUCCUUGGGGCUAUUAUUAAUAGUAAAUUGAGUAAUUUGGAGCCAGGAAGAAUCAAGGAGUGGUUUGAGUGAGGAAUGCUUUCCACUGGCUGGCAAUGCAUUUUUGGGAGUUCUGCUUUUAAAUUAGCUAAUUCUCUUUCAUUGCUUGCUGUAGGCACCGUUAAGGAAGGAUACCUCAUGCUUUAUGGUUUCUUCUGAAAGGUAUGAGACAUGGUUGAAUUUUUUCAGCUCUCAGAGCAGCCAGUUUCAAUUAAAAAGGAACUGAGAUCUUUGUCAAAAGUUUCAGUUUAGCUGGCCAGGCCAAACAGACAGAACACCACAGAGGUGUGUUUCCUACGAAGUGUGCUCAUCUACGGGCUCAGCUGUGCAGAAGGAAGUGCACCCUGUCCUUCUCUCUUCCCCCAACAUCCUACAUGCUCCCAUUUCUUGUCUUAUGUUGCUCUGCUCAUUGCUUGGCACCUCUGUUAGCUCAGUAGUGUCAGGCAGUAAGGAACAGACCCAACAAGAUGGAUAAUCAUCCAUGGCAGUAGUGAGUAACAUUGGCUUAUAGAGAAGUUCAGUACCUGCCAGAGCCAUUACAAGGGAGGAAUAUGCAUUGUGUGGGCAGGUGAAGAAGGAAGAGGGAGCUGAGUAAGUGGGAGGAAAGAAGGGGACCUCUUCCUCUUAGGAGGAAAGCAUUAUCUUGGUGCAGCUUCCCACAAAGCUUUGCUUUCACUAAGUGAUGUUUUUGUUUUUCUUCUACUUUGCAACAUGUGGUUGUGAAAACAACAUGAGGCACCAAUUUCCAAAUGAGGUUUAACAUGAUCUCAGCCUGUGCUUUUACUUUCCCUGCUUCAUGCAGAGCCAAAUGUUUCUGCUACCUCUUUUAUUUCUGGAUAUGAAAGCCAAAAUCCUACAAAACCCGGAACUGUUUCCUUAGGAUCUUUCCUUGCAUACUUGCUGCAGGAAUUGUGAUGCAGGCAUAUGAGAGAAAAUAGUGUGGGCUGGAGCACUGUACAUCCACCAGUUUAUACUAGUUAGGAAACAGCACCUUAAAGGCUUGAGCAUCUGCCAGUAUUUAAUAUGCACCCUCCUGUGGGCAGCACAAAAUAUAAUAGUUUCCAAAGUUUUAUAAAAAGAGAAAUACAGUUUCUCAUUAUGUUUCAGGUACUUGUUUUUCAUCUGCUUAAAAAAAAAAAAAAAAAAAAAAAUUGGGUUUUCCUUGGCAUUCAGACUUUCCCAAUGAGAUUGAAGAUGAUAUGUUUACUAGUGACAAAGAGAGGAUGUGGUCAUCUAGUUCCAUUCCUAGCAUUUGACUUGUUGUGUUUCAUCAUUUCAUUUUUUGGAAAGGACUCUUAAUUCUUCUGACAUUAUCAUAGGCUGGAAGUAAGUAAGUACUUACUGCUGGCUAUCAAGGGGAAAAUACCUAUGUUAUUAUUCUGUGUUCAAGAAAUGUUUUAGUUGUUGCUCUAGAGGGUAUCUAAAAUUCUGUGAUACAAACUCUGAUAGUACAUGGAAUACUGUCCAUGGUAACAAGAUGCACUUUUAUUUUGAUGUGGAAAUAUACAUCUUCCCUCUUCUCAAUCCUGGGUAGACGGGUGCCUUCCUCUGGCAGACGUGCAGGUUCUCUAUGCAGUGCCUUUGGGAAAAUAUGUUUCCCUGAGAACAGUUCUCAGCACUCUUUCUGAUAGAGAAAACUGAUCCCUUAGCACAGCCUGGUGGCUGUUAGUGAGACAGCAAGCAAAAUAUAAAAUCACACAAUUAUAUGUGAGAGAGGAAGUGAUUGUAUUACUGCUGUAGGUGUGAUGGUCUCACUUUCCUGUAGAGCAAGUUCUAGAUGAGGUGAGAGUGGUUGUGGGAAAAUGGAGAUGCUGUCUGGCACACCAGCCCACUGUAGAUCUGAAAUAAUAACAGUAAAUUCAAGUGUAGUCUGAAGGGGAAAAAUGUUCUGUGCAGAGGUAGCUGCCAGAAAGAGAGGGAAAAUAUAUCUGAGUGGGGAAAGGAAAUGAUUGCAUUCAGAAUGGAGACAAAACCUGUCAUUAAACUCAUGUAUCAGAGUGGAUGAUCUUUAUUAUCUGCUUAUUUAACAUCAGUGAAUUUCAGCUAGCUCUGUAGACCACCCUAAAAGAUCAGGAUUGAAAAGUCACAGGUUUUUUUUUGUCAGAAAUGUUCGUACGGCAAUGUCAAGGACAAUGGUAUGAAGUAUCUGUGCAGCCUAGUAAAACCUAAAGCCAUGGCCAUGAUAUGGCACAUGAAGACAGAUGAAAAUUUGGAGGCAUCUCCACUGUCAUAGCCCUUGAAAAGGACACCAUCUUCCAAUCAUCUACUGGAUUAUUUUUGUUCUUACAGAUCUGCUGCUAAAGUACAGGGUAUGUUUCUAAGCUGUGCAUUUUCUUAACUCCUAUUUUUAUUGCAGGCAGUAAAUUCUUGGCUAACACUUAAGUUAAUAAAUUAUAGCAGUGGUGAAAAUGGCCCAGGUGGUGGUGUGCUUUUCUGUGAGAUUUGAGAAUUUCACUCUACAAAUGCCAGAAAGAGCCAUGAAUAAAAUUCCAUACUGCUGCAAAACACAUAUAUCACCUUUCCAGAUUGAUGUGAUAUUUCAUCAAGAGCAUCAUUUAUUUGCUGGGAAAUUAUUUAUUCUAGUAAACUCGCUGAUGACAAAUUGAAGAAUUGCAGGUGGCUACACCUUAUGUGUUGGUUCCAAAAUAGGUUUCUAAUACAAGAAAAAGGAUGAAUUAUAACGCUGCCGCUGGCUGGAAGAAGCAGGUGAAAGUACUCAAGGCUGAGGCAGCAAGAAAACAUCUGCACUUUGGAGGCACAAAUGUCUUGAAAAUGGGGGCAGAUAUCCCCCAUAUUAAACAAAGGAAGGGAAAUGGGGGAUUCAGAAGAGUGAAGAAGAUAGAGUUUGUGUGGCAGCACUAAUCAUACAAAAAUUUGAGCAUGAAAUAACCCCUGGGAACAAAGUCCAGGUAUAGAAAUGUAUCAGGUACCUCAUGUUGUCUGGUUUUGGUGAUAGUUUUAAAGUUAAGAUGAGAAAGUUUGAGUUAAUACUGGAUAUAUGAGAGGUUGCGGAUGUCAGAGAGCACUGCAUCAUGCACCUAUCUUUGCUUUGCUUCUAGCAAAACUUGGUGUCUACUAAGAAGGUACUCAUGAUUGAAUACAGGAUCACAACAUGUCGGGAUUCAGGAGAAAUAUAAUUUAGGAUCUCUAUUAUAGAUCCUCCAGGAACAAAUGGGAUCAAUUCCGGGUAGGAGGUUCAGGGUAGACUGAAAUUUGUCUCUACGGUUGGUUUUGGUUUGACAUAAUGAGAACUAAAGGUGCAGAUUGUUAUCUGUAUCUUUAUCUGUAUUAUUAUCCUCUUAAUGUCCUUCUUAUCCUUGAACUGUAUUAUUAUCCUAUGACAAAGCUUAGAGCGUUUUGAAUGUACAUUUGAGAUACCAAACCUGUUUUCCAUUCACAGAUAAUAUGAUUUUGAUUAAAUCACUCCUAUCCAGUGAUUCAACCCCAUGUGUAGUAUGAUGUGCUGUUAGUAAGAAGCAUCAGAAGAAAGAUUUCCUCCCAGUUCCUCCCAGGAAUAAAAAGGUCUUGGUGGAUCAACAUAUGUCGGGUGUCUGAUGACUAGGACAGUCAAACUCUCAUGCUCUGAAAGAGUGAAGUUGCUAAGUGAAAAGAGAAGCAUCGCUUUUCCCUUUGUAACAGUGAUGAAAAUAACAGUGAAGUAAAACAUUAUCUAAAAAGUAUCAUACAGCAAAAGGUACUGUGAACAUUCAGUAAUUUCACAGGCUUUAAUGCACUUUUAUUCAAGCAUCUGUGGGUAUGUGCAAAUUUGUGUGCAUUUCAGAAAAGGAUGUUGAAUUAGAAGUGAUUAAUGUGCACUAAAUGUCUGUCUUUCCUUUCUGUGCUGAUCCUUACUGUGAAGUAUAACAGAGAGAGUAGGAGUAUGGAAUGGCUGUAAACAUUCCUGUGCUUAGAAAAAAAUCAGGUCCUGCC
ensembl:lncRNA